rnacentral:misc_RNA from 1 species
AACGCAAGUUGCGCCCGACGCCAUUCGGCCGAGGGCACGUCUGCCUGGGUGUCACGCACCGUUGCCCCCAAACGCCCCCGCCUCGCAAGGGGCGCGGGAUCUCGUUUGGUGGCGGAAGUUGGCCUCCCGUGGGCCUGUGCUCGCGGUUAGCCUAAAAAGGAGUCCUCGGCGACGAGCGCCACGACAAUCGGUGGUUGAUUAGACCUCGGUCCCCGUCGUGCGUGUCUGGUCGCCACAAGGUGUGACUCGUCGACCCUAACGCGUCGUACCCACGUCGCUCCCAACGCGACCCCAGGUCAGGCGGGACUACCCGCUGAGUUUAA